rnacentral:lncRNA from 1 species
UUGUUUCAGUGGGUUUUCUUUGAAAAUAUUUAGCCUUUGGACAGCAUUACACAAUAUAUAAUGAGAUCCCCUAUGCAUGGGGGUCCUAGAGACAAAUGAAGCCUUUGGUAGAAAUUCCUGCUGUUUAAACUGAGAUUAUAGGCUGGUUCUGAGACAGACUGGCCUUCUCAAGUCAAUGGGAUGAAAUGCUAACAGAUUCAGCAGAGCCAAUCACUGGGAUCUUGGAGCAAGGUCUAAAUGAGAAAAGGGAAGAGAAAGGCAUAAAAAGUAAAUAUCAGGCACUGAAGCCAAACCCAGAACAUGGAAAUGAUGCUGGCUGGAAAGGCCAGGACUGGGAAGUUGAGAAAGGAAGGGUCAUGACUUCCCCUGACUGAAUGGAAAGAUUCAGAGGACCAUGUCCCAUGGAGCUCAUUCUUCUUCAAGAGUGUUCUGUUGCCUCAUGGAACCACAUUGUUUUUUUUGUUGUUUUAUUUUUUUAUUUUUUUUAUUUUUUUUGGAACCACAUUGUUAUUAAAAAAUAACUGAUGAAUAUUUAACAGAGAUAUAAAAAGCUCUCUCAAGGCAAUGACUCCACUCUUUGAGGGGAACAUUCUACCUAGUAUAACUGCUGAGGGUGGCCAUGCCACCAUGGUUGAAUGGAGAAAUUUCCUGCAAGUAAUUUCAAACAGUGGGCACAAAGUCUUACUUUAACAUGGGAGUCAGUAGAGGAUGAUGGUUAAAAACCCAGGAAUGUAGAGGACGGAGUGUAUGUAUGUGCAUAGGGGAUGAGAUGAAAGGUCCUUAGAAGCCAUGGGAUUCAGAGCAAUUCUUUAAAGUUCUAUAAACUUCAAUGUACUCAUCUACGAAGCAUACCUAGCAAUAUCUAUCUCAUGCAGUAGUUGUGAGGUUUGAACAGGGGAAUGCCCACAAAAACUUGGCACAGUAGGCACAAAGGAAAUGCUCAAAAAGCAAUUGAGUAAACAGACUAAAGUAAUCAGAAAGCCAGGGCUGCAGGGGCUUGGGUGAGUUGUUCUCAGUCUAUCCCAGAUAUACCAAGUGCCUCUGCUCUAACUUUUUAAGGUUUAUAACAAUGAACUUCAUUCCAAAGUUUUGACAUUCAGAGAAUUUCGUUACCUAGAGUUUUGGAUCAUACUCCCAGCUCAAUCUCUCAUUGCCAAUUCUGAGUCGAGGAUUCAGAAAGUAGGCAGUGGGGUAGAGCCACUAUAGCUUGGCUCUCUAAAGGUGUUCUCAAAAUCAUAGUCCCUUUGGUAACAAUAAAACAAGGGUCCAAGACUCGAGCA